UACGGGAGGCAGCAGUAGGGAAUUUUCGGCAAUGGGGGAAACCCUGACCGAGCAACGCCGCGUGAGCGAAGAAGGCCUUCGGGUCGUAAAGCUCUGUUGUAAAGGAAGAACGGCGCAUACAGGAAAUGGUAUGCGAGUGACGGUACUUUACCAGAAAGCCACGGCUAACUACGUGCCAGCAGCCGCGGUAAUACGUAGGUGGCGAGCGUUAUCCGGAAUCAUUGGGCGUAAAGAGGGAGCAGGCGGCCGCAAGGGUCUGUGGUGAAAGACCGAAGCUAAACUUCGGUAAGCCAUGGAAACCGGGCGGCUGGAGUGCGGAAGAGGAUCGUGGAAUUCCAUGUGUAGCGGUGAAAUGCGUAGAUAUAUGGAGGAACACCAGUGGCGAAGGCGACGGUCUGGGCCGCAACUGACGCUCAUUCCCGAAAGCGUGGGGAGCAAAUAGGAUUAGAUACCCUAGUAGUCCACGCCGUAAACGAUGGNCACUAAUUGUCGGGGGUCAAACCCCGGUGCUGCACCUCAACGCAAUAAGUGACCCGCCUGAGUAGUACGUUCGCAAGAAUGAAACUCAAACGAAUUGACGGA
rnacentral:rRNA from 1 species